UACAGAGGUGGCAAGCGUUGUUCGGAAUUACUGGGCGUAAAGGGCGCGUAGGCGGCCUGCUAAGUCGAACGUGAAAUCCCCGGGCUCAACCCGGGAACUGCGUCCGAUACUGGCAGGCUUGAAUCCGGGAGAGGGAUGCGGAAUUCCAGGUGUAGCGGUGAAAUGCGUAGAUAUCUGGAGGAACACCGGUGGCGAAGGCGGCAUCCUGGACCGGUAUUGACGCUGAGGCGCGAAAGCCAGGGGAGCAAACGGG
rnacentral:rRNA from 1 species